rnacentral:rRNA from 1 species
CUCCUUUUUCUAAUCAGUGAACUAAUCUUCCCGUGAAGAAGCGGGAAUAUCCCCAUAAGACGAGAAGACCCCAUGGAGCUUCAAACCCAAUUACACCCCUAACCCCUAUAACUACUUAACCCUUAGGAUUCUGUAUUAUUGGUUUUAGGUUGGGGCGACCACGGAGUACAACAAAACCUCCACAAUGAACGGAACUACUUCCUCAUCUGAGAGCUACACCUCUAAGAAUUAAAAUAUUAACAUAAAAUGAUCCAUUUUUGAUCAAUGAACCAAGUUACCCUGGGGAUAACAGCGCAAUCCAUUUCAAGAGCCCCUAUCGACAAAUGGG